GAUGAAGAACGUAGUGAAAUGCGAUACGUAAUGUGAAUUGCAGAAUUCAGUGAAUCAUCGAGUCUUUGAACGCACAUUGCGCCCCCUGGUAUUCCGGGGGGCAUGCCUGUCCGAGCGUCAUUGCUGCCCUCAAGCACGGCUUGUGUGUUGGGCCUCCGUCCUCCUCCCGGGGGACGGGCCCGAAAGGCAGCGGCGGCACCGCGUCCGGUCCUCGAGCGUAUGGGGCUUCGUCACCCGCUCUUGCAGGCCCGGCCGGCGCUUGCCGACACAUCAAUCUUUUUUCCAGGUUGACCUCGGAUCAGGUAGGGAUACCCGCUGAACUUAAGCAUAUCAAUAAGCGGAGGA
rnacentral:misc_RNA from 1 species